rnacentral:rRNA from 1 species
AAUAGAUACCCCGGUAGUCCAUGCCGUAAACGAUGAUUACUAAGUGUUGGAGGGUUUCCGCCCUUCAGUGCUGCAGCUAACGCAUUAAGUAAUCCGCCUGGGGAGUACGACCGCAAGGUUGAAACUCAAAAGAAUUGACGGGGGCCCGCACAAGCGGUGGAGCAUGUGGUUUAAUUCGAAGCUACGCGAAGAACCUUACCAGGUCUUGACAUCUUCUGACAGUCUAAGAGAUUAGAGGUUCCCUUUGGGGACAGAAUGACAGGUGGUGCAUGGUUGUCGUCAGCUCGUGUCGUGAGAUGUUGGGUUAAGUCCCGCAACGAGCGCAACCCUUAUUACUAGUUGCCAGCAUUAAGUUGGGCACUCUAGUGAGACUGCCGGUGACAAACCGGAGGAAGGUGGGGACGACGUCAAAUCAUCAUGCCCCUUAUGACCUGGGCUACACACGUGCUACAAUGGAUGGUACAACGAGUCGCGAGACCGCGAGGUUAAGCUAAUCUCUUAAAACCAUUCUCAGUUCGGACUGUAGG